rnacentral:rRNA from 1 species
GACGAACGCUGGCGGCGUGCUUAACACAUGCAAGUCGAACGCUGAAGCUCAGCUUGCUGGGUGGAUGAGUGGCGAACGGGUGAGUAACACGUGAGUAACCUGCCCUCUUCUUUGGGAUAACGCCCGGAAACGGGUGCUAAUACUGGAUAUUCACUGAUUCUCGCAUGGGGGUUGGUGGAAAGGUUUUUUCUGGUGGGGGAUGGGCUCGCGGCCUAUCAGCUUGUUGGUGGGGUGAUGGCCUACCAAGGCUUUGACGGGUAGCCGGCCUGAGAGGGUGACCGGUCACAUUGGGACUGAGAUACGGCCCAGACUCCUACGGGAGGCAGCAGUGGGGAAUAUUGCACAAUGGGCGAAAGCAUGAUGCAGCGACGCCGCGUGAGGGAUGGAGGCCUUCGGGUUGUAAACCUCUUUCGCUCAUGGUCAAGCCGCAGCUUUGGGUUGUGGUGAGGGUAGUGGGUAAAGAAGCGCCGGCUAACUACGUG